GAAUGUGCGCGCGUAUGGCGAGGGAAAAACUUAUCAGAUGUUCUUGCUGUGCUAGCAGAAACUGUACGAGCAGAAUCACCACCAAUGGGCGUCAAUGGGGAUUUUAGGGUUUGUGGAAAUCGGGCGCCGCACUCAGAGUUCAACUGACCAUAAAGUUCUGUCUUCAAAGGACGCAAAUCGGAAUGUAGGCCAGAUAAAGAAGAGCUAGUUGAUUCGGAACGCUUACGAAAAGGGACCUCCAGUGAGUUAGGAAACUUCGAGAUAACAGAAUCUUCUUGCAAAUUAACAAGACUUGGCAUCGCCUUUAUACUUUGUUUACCAUUAGGGAAGGGAUUACCAUGAUGAUUAGCCGAAGGGGCAGUAGGCGUAGAUACCAGUGAAUCGGGAGAAUCCCCGUCAAGUGAAAGCCAAGUUAAAGACGGGAUCGGGUUAGAGUAGGAAACAGGUGACUCUAAGGAAGCUUGUUUGUUUGAUCCGUGUGGGAAAGUAUAGUUAGAACUGAUCAUAGAGGA